CCUACGGGAGGCUGCAGUGGGGAAUAUUGCACAAUGGGCGCAAGCCUGAUGCAGCCAUGCCGCGUGUGUGAAGAAGGCCUUCGGGUUGUAAAGCACUUUCAGCGGGGAGGAAGGCGUUAAGGUUAAUAACCUUGUCGAUUGACGUUACCCGCAGAAGAAGCACCGGCUAGCUCCGUGCCAGCAGCCGCGGUAAUACGGAGGGUGCAAGCGUUAAUCGGAAUUACUGGGCGUAAAGCGCACGCAGGCGGUCUGUCAAGUCGGAUGUGAAAUCCCCGGGCUCAACCUGGGAACUGCAUUCGAAACUGGCAGGCUAGAGUCUUGUAGAGGGGGGUAGAAUUCCAGGUGUAGCGGUGAAAUGCGUAGAGAUCUGGAGGAAUACCGGUGGCGAAGGCGGCCCCCUGGACAAAGACUGACGCUCAGGUGCGAAAGCGUGGGGAGCAAACAGGAUUAGAUACCCUAGUAGUC
rnacentral:rRNA from 1 species